rnacentral:misc_RNA from 1 species
AAAAUGCGAAAAGUAUUGUGACAUGCAAUCCUUGAGAAUCAACGAAUCUUUGAACGCACCUUGCACCGGGACGCGCGAGCGGGCCGGUAUACUUGUUUGAGCAUCGCGACAGCGUGGGCCGCAUUGCCUCUGGGCGUGUGGGCCGAGUGAGCCGACGGGGUGAGAGCGCCGUGGCUUGAAAGCGAGACAGCAGCGAGCGACGCGGCAUGGGAUAGCAUCUUGCAUGCGGCGGCGCAAGCAGCUGACUGAACCAGUGAGUGGCCAGUAUAGAAUGGGGAGCAUAUGUAUAUCAUGUGUGUUCACUCGCUCGACACUGACCCACUCACCCGAUACAUGACAGGGAUCUCAAAUCAAGUAGGAAGACCCGCCGAACUUAA